UUCGUCCAAGUGAAGCAGAGGACAGUGGCGGACGGGUGAGUAACGCGUGAGGAACCUGCCUUUCAGAGGGGGACAACAGUUGGAAACGACUGCUAAUACCGCAUAAGCCCACAGAGCCGCAUGGCUCAGGGGGAAAAGGAGCAAUUCGCUUCAGGAUGGAUUCGCGUCCAAUUAGCUAGUUGGUGAGGUAACGGCCCACCAAGGCGACGAUCAGUAGCCGGACUGAGAGGUUGAACGGCCACAUUGGGACUGAGAUACGGCCCAGACUCC
rnacentral:rRNA from 1 species